GCAAACUUGGUCAUUUAGAGGAAGUAAAAGUCGUAACAAGGUCUCCGUAGGUAAGUGAAACCGCCUCGACCCCCGCCCGCCCCGCGGACGCAACGCUAACUCUGUCUUCCAGGUGAACCUGCGGAGGGAUCAUUACCGAGCAAGGGCCGAGAGGCCCGAACUCCCACCCCAUGUGGUCGCAUCAGACGAUCUCGUGCCUCGGGGGCGACCCGCCCGCGGGCCCCCCGGCGGACACAGGCGCAACGCUGUAACCAGUAGUCCCGUCGCACAUGAAACAACGCAAAACUUUCAACAAUGGAUCUCUUGGUUCUGGCAUCGAUGAAGAACGCAGC
rnacentral:misc_RNA from 1 species